CCGGGGGCUCGGGGCAGUGCAGGACAGGCGCGUUCUCCCCUUGUGCAGCUGCGGGGAGCUCAGGGUCGGCGAGGUGUGUCCUGAGGGAAGCCUUGCGAGAAAGCACAGGAUCAUCCUCAGCAGCUGCAACGUGUGCCCCAUACUGUUGUCCGAAUGAUUCUUGAAUUCUUGUGAGCCUUGGUGCUGUGACCACUUCCCUGGGGAGCCUGUUCCAGAGCCGAACCACCCUCUGCGUGAAAAGUCUUAAUGUCCAACCUAAAGGUCCCCUGGCUUGGCUUCAUGCCAUUUCCUUGAGUUGCUGGUCACAAGAGUGAAGAGUUUAGUCCCUGCCCCUCCACUUCCCCUCGUGAAGAUGUUGAAGAGCACAGUGAUGUCUCCCCUCGAUCUCCAGGCUGAACAAACGGAGUGACCUCAGCCAUUCCUCAUAGGACUUCCCCUCCAGACCUCUCCCCUUCCUCCUGGCCCUCCUUUGGAUGCCGAAAACAGCACAGAGUACCCAAGGACUUCAUCUUUAUGCCGAUUCCCAAAGAUGAGCUAAUUGGUCUGCACAAUUUACCCUUGGUGACAACCAUACUGCAGGAAAUUAAAUACUAAGGUCAGCCAGUGGAAGCCCUUGGAGCUCUAUGGCAAAGUAGAAGUCUGUGUUCCUUAUGAAGACAGAAGAAUUCUCCUGAAAAGAAUGGCAUAAUUGGGACUGAGUGCCUGCUUCUUUGUGUCUGUUUCUGAAGACAGGAAAUUCUGUAACACAGAACAGCCAAAAACAGGAUAUGUAUCUAUAUGUCAAUAUAUGUGCCUACCUGUCAAUCUGUGAUCUAUCUAUCUACCUGUAAUUCCUCUUACCCACUCACUCUGCUUGUACAAAUAUCCUAAAUGCCUUAAUUCUCUGCAUUUUUUGA